rnacentral:rRNA from 1 species
CAUGGCUCAGAUUGAAUGCUGGCGGCAUGGCUAAAACAUGCAAGUCGAACGUGCCCGCAAGGGCAAGUGGCGAAAGGGUCAGUAACGCGAUCGAACGUACCCCGAGGUGGAGGAUAGCGCUGGGAAACUGGCGGUAACACUCCAUGUCCUCGCAAGAGAAAAGGUUUACCGCCUUGGGAGCGGCGAUCGUCCUAUCAGGUAGUUGGCGGGGUAAAGGCCCACCAAGCCUAAGACGGGUAGCGGGUGUGAGAGCACGGCCCGCGACAUCGGAACUGAGACACUGUCCGGACUCCUACGGGAGGCUGCAGUAACGAAUCUUCCGCAAUGGGCGAAAGCCUGACGGAGCAAUGCCGCGUGUGGGAUGAAGCAUCUCUGGUGUGUAAACCACUGUCAGGGGACGGAACCAAUGAUUGUCCCAGAGGAAGUGGCGACUAACUCUGUGCCAGCAGUCGCGGUAAUACAGAGGCCACAAGCAUUAGUCGGAAUCACU